AUUGAACGCUGGCGGCAGGCCUAACACAUGCAAGUCGAACGAGUGGCGGACGGGUGAGUAAUGUCUGGGAAACUGCCUUAUGGAGGGGGAUAACUACUGGAAACUGUAUCUAAUACCGCAUACCCUCAGAUGUGCCCAGCUGGGGUUAGCUUGUUGGUGGGGUAACGGCGCACCAAGGCGACGAUCACUAGCUGGUCUGAGAGGAUGACCAGCCACAUUGGAACUGAGACACGGUCCAGACUCCUCCGGGAGGCAGCAGUGGGGAAUAUUGCACAAUGGGCGAAAGCCUGAUGCAGCCAUGCCGCGUGUAUGAAGAAGGCCUUCGGGUUGUAAAGUACUUUCAGCGGGGAGGCGUUACCCGCAGAAGAAGCACCGGCUAACUCCGUGCCAGCCGCCGCGGUAAUUC
rnacentral:rRNA from 1 species